CGUGUGAUGAUGUACAGAGUGUGCGAAGACGCAUGUCGCGUAGCCGCCGGCUGUGCGCGCCUGACGAACUACUGUAUUUCACGGGUGAACAAUCUCUGAUG
rnacentral:snoRNA from 17 species